GAGUUUGAUCCUGGCUCAGGACGAACGCUGGCGGCGUGCUUAACACAUGCAAGUCGAACGGUAAGGCCCUUUCGGCGGUACACGAGUGUUCAACGGCUGAGUAACACGUGGGUGAUCUGCCCUGCACUUUGGGAUAAACCUGGUAAACUGGCUCUAAUACCGGAUAGGACUACGCGAUGCAUGUCGUGUGCUGGAAAGCUUUUGCGCUGUGAUAUGGACCCGCGCCCUAUCAGCUUGUUGGAGGUGUGAUGGCCUACCCAGGCUACGACCGGUAUUCGGCCUGAGAGGGUGUCCGGCCACACUGGGACUGAGAUACGGCCCAGACUCCUACGGGAGGCAGCCCUGGAGAAUAUUGCACAGUGGACGCGAGCCUGAUGCCACGACCCCCCGAGUUGAAUGACGGCCUUCCCGUUGUAAACCCCUUUCACCUCAGACGAAUGGUAAGUGACGGUAUGUGCAGAAGAACCACCGGCCAACUACGUGCCAGCAUCCGCGGAAAUACGUAGGGUGCGAGCGUUGUCCGGAAGUACUGGGCGUAAAGAGCUCGUACGAGGUUUGUCGCGUUGUGCGGGAAGACUCACAACUCAAUUGUGCUUCUGCGUGCGAUACAGUAAGACUGAUGUACUGCCGCUUAGACUGGAAUUCCUGGUGUCCUUUGAAAAUGCGCAGAUAUCACGAGGAACACCGGUGGCGAACUUAAUGUCUCUGGUACGAUACUGACGCUGAGGAGCGAACGCGUGACCAGCGAACAGGAUUAGAUACCCUGGAAUACCACGCCAUAUACGCUGGUUCCUACGUGUGGGGAYCAUUCCACGGUUUCUGUGCCGUAGCUAACGCAUUAAGCGCCCCGCCUGGGGAGUACGGCCGCAAGGCUAAAACUCAAAGGAAUUGACGGGGGCCCGCACAAGCGGCGGAGCAUGUGGAUUAAUUCGAUGCAACGCGAAGAACCUUACCUGGGUUUGACAUGCACCAGGCGCGUCUAGAGAUAGGCGUUCCCUUGUGGUUGGUGUGCAGGUGGUGCAUGGCUGUCGUCAGCUCGUGUCGUGAGAUGUUGGGUUAAGUCCCGCAACGAGCGCAACCCUUGUUCCAUGUUGCCAGCACGCGGUGGAAGCCGUGGUGGGACUCAUGGGAGACUGCCGGGGUCAACUCGGAGGAAGGUGGGGAUGACGUCAAGUCAUCAUGCCCCUUAUGUCCAGGGCUUCACACAUGCUACAAUGGCCUAUACAGAGGGCUGCGAGACCGUGAGGUGGAGCGAAUCCCUUAAAGUGGGUCUCAGUUCGGAUCGGGGUCUGCAACUCGACCCCGUGAAGUUGGAGUCGCUAGUAAUCGCAGAUCAGCAACGCUGCGGUGAAUACGUUCCCGGGCCUUGUACACACCGCCCGUCACGUCACGAAAGUUGGUAACACCCGAAGCCCAUGGCCUAACCCGCUUGCGGGGGGGAGUGGUCGAAGGUGGGACUGGCGAUUGGGACGAAGUCGUAACAAGGUAGCCGUACCGGAAGGUGCGGCUGGAUCACCUCCUUUCU
rnacentral:rRNA from 1 species